UCGAUCAGUCCUGCGCCUAUGUUGCGCGCUCCCAUUUCCCUCCCUCCUCCUCCUUCUCCUUCUCCCCACCCUGGGCCGAACGAGACGAGCUGCGAGGGAGGGGCUGCUGCGACGCGCUCCCGCUGUGGUGGUAAUACAGCACUGGAUAUAUUUAAGAAACAGCCUCCUGAUUUUAUUAGCGAGACAAGAUUAUCAGCUUUGGAAAAUCGGAAGUGGCAACUGGCACCUAUUUCUAUUCCUCUCUAAUGGAUUGGUGUCAUCCAAAACCAUUUGUGUUUUCUUCCAUACCACUCAUGUGCUACAAGUGCUAUGAUAGACUAUAAUAAUACAAUUUAAGGGCCUCAUUCAUGGUGCCCUUAUGCUGAUCCUGACUUCAGGUGGACUUUGCAGACAGGGAACAACUCGAAGGUCUGCCGCCCCAACUCGAAGGUCCGCUCAUAUUCAGGGGAAGAAUCCCACUCCUGUGGACUGGCUGUAACAGCAUGUCUGAUCUUUCAACACCACUUUGCUACAGCAGCUCAUGCACUCCUGGACAAGAACGCUACUGGCCCUUUACCACUCAUGGAUGAUCGGCAGCACCAAGUAGCCGACGACAACAUUCUUAUAGCAUGGAAACACUGGUGGGAAAGAGAGUCUAACAUGCUAUGUAAAUUCAGGAGUCCAUCACUGCACCUGCCUCCUUGUCCUCUUGAUCAUAGAUCCUGGAUCAGGUUCAACAGGGGUUAUUCUCUGGCUCAUCCAGAAUUGCUGCAACUAUAUGGCAGACUGGUUUGGCUUCCUCUCCAUGCUGUGAUGGGGUGUGUGCGGGGGAAGAGGGGUAGCAUUGCAGACAAUGACUCAUGGAGUGGAAGAGUGCCCAAUUCAACAUCUGGAGGGUGGUUUACAAAACCUCGCCUCCCUAAACACAGAAGCUAACCUUUGGCUACAGAACCUGGACAUUGAGCUCUGACAUCUGCACAUGAGAGGAGGAGUCUUGCCUGUGGCCUAGCCACACACUUUUAUAUAAUAGAUAGUGACCGCUUCAAGUGAGUUCUCAG